rnacentral:rRNA from 1 species
AACGAACGCUGGCGGCAGGCUUAACACAUGCAAGUCGAGCGCCCCGCAAGGGGAGCGGCAGACGGGUGAGUAACACGUGGGAAUCUACCCAACCCUACGGAAUAGCUCCGGGAAACUGGAAUCAAUACCGUAUAGCCCCUUAGGGGGAAAGAUUUAUCGGUGAUGGAUGAGCCCGCGUUGGAUUAGCUAGUUGGUGGGGUUAAGGCCUACCAAGGCGACGAUCCAUAGCUGGUCUGAGAGGAUGAUCAGCCACAUUGGGACUGAGACACGGCCCAAACUCGUACGGGAGGCAGUAGUGGGGAAUAUUGGACAAUGGGCGCAAGCCUGAUCCAGCCAUGCCGCGUGAGUGACGAAGGCCUUAGGGUUGUAAAGCUCUUUCACCGGAGAAGAUAAUGACGGUAUCCGGAGAAGAAGCCCCGGCUAACUUCGUGCCAGCCGCCGCUGUAA